ACAGGGCCUUUUGAGAGCUCAUUAGCUUUGGAGUCAUAGGAACUCCGAAGUUAAAUGAGUUUAGGCUAGAGUAAUCCCAGGAUGGGUGACCCACUGGGAAGUUGCUCGUGAGUUCCUAUA
rnacentral:rRNA from 1 species